ensembl:lncRNA
GUGUUUCUACCUAUAUAUCCCUAUCCCAAAUUCUACCUCCUCCUUUUCUUCCUUUCUUUUCUUGCCUCACCUUCGUUAACAGGCGCUGGAAAGGGAAAUGUGUUCCCAUCUUAUUCUGCCAUUGUGUUCAGUGAUCUCAUGUGCUUUGGAUUGAAGAUUGCUGUUCUGCUUAGAGACUAUUUUGGUGUCACUGUCCUUCAGAGGUUAUUUGGAAGCCCUCCCACUCCCAGGAAGUGGGCUCAGCAGCCCCUGAGCAAGCAUUGCCCUGCUUCUGGAGGGGGUAGCAGCAGGGAAGUUGAGGUAGAGGAGUGUUUGUACUGGGCACAGUCAGGCUGUGGGAAUUGAAGGUGUGCAUUCAGGGUGCACAGCCCAUCCAGAGGAGCAGCUCUCUAGGCAGAGGGCAAAGUUCUUCAUCAGUGCUGUACGCGGUAAGGGGUGUCCUUUGGUAAGAGUGCCUCUGGAAUGAGCAUUGUCCUCAGGCUAUCAUGAAGAGUGAGGCAUCUGCAAAGCUCACUCGGGUUUCUGUUCCACUCUGACCUUCCUGUGGGGUGGGCUGGUAGGUCAUCUCAUGUGUACCCUUAACAUGUUUUUUCAAGGGUUCUUAUUUGUCAUGAAGCUGCAGUGCCCAGAACAACCACCACCCUUCCAAUCUUAGUGGAAGAGAAUAGAAUAAAAAUAUUAACUAGACAUGCUUCUAUCAAGCUCACUGGGAUCUAAUUUACCCUCCCAUUUGCUGCUUGCUUUGCUUUCCCAAGAAGAUAUUAGUAGGCAAAAUAUUUUACAUAUGUAUAUUCAGGGUAAUGCACUCCAGGGCACUUAAUGUAGUUUAUAUAGUGCUUAUCUGCUUUUUGGCUUGUAAACUUUGCUACUUCUGCAGCCUUACAAAAGUGAUGAAUAAAUGUAUUGUGUAAUUGCUGUUUGUAAAUUGAAUUCUGGAGAAUUUACCAGAGGGUGACAUAAAAUAUAUUCAAAUUUACAGUCUCUGAUUAUUCCAAAUACCCGCCAAAAUCUCGUUUCACACCUAAUUUAUUUAACUUUGGCACAUGUAAGUGCUGAAUGUUCUCCCUUCAUCCAUUUACUUGGGACAAGACUCACUCCAGAUGCAGUUUCACAGUCUCUAGUCCAGUCUGACUGUGCUUGUCCAUCACUUUUUCUCAGUUGGACACACUCAUGAUCAGCACCUGAAUGUGCUCUGAAAAAGUGAGUCUUCAACCAGAUGAGAGUUGAUCACUGCUGAGCCUAAGGUAAAGGGUGGGGGAAGUGAAGGGUAAGUUCAGGGUGGGACUGCCCACUUAAAUGGUGGCUUGUCAAUUAAGUGGUUGAUGUCAGCCAUGAAACCAUGAUCCCUUUGGAGCUGCAGCAAAUGGAGAGGGAACCUGGCUCCUGGCACCUGAUGGAGCUGGGGGUUUGUGCUUUGUUCCAGGCUUCUGAAUACCUUUUGCUGUGUUGGAAAGCAAAGCAAUGCUUUCCAACUUUAUUUAAGCCCUGCCCAAAUUACUUGAAUUUUUGCAGCUUGGUCCAAGUGAUAGUUCUAGUUUGC